rnacentral:misc_RNA from 1 species
AAUUCUCAAGCCCUCUAGGUCAUUUUGUGACUUGGUUGGAGCCUUGGAUGUGGAGGGUCUUGCAGGCCUUUAUCAGGUCAGCUCCUCUGAAAGUCAUUAGCAGAACCGGUUGUGAUCUGUGAUAGGCAUGAUAAUUAUCUAUGUCAACGGGAUCACUCUCUGUCUUGUUCAGCUUCAAACUGUCCCCAGGACAAACCAUUCAUUGAUU